GCUGUGGAUAAGGUAUUUGUAUGUUAAAUUCAAUUCUGGUUAGCUAUAGAUAUAUAUAGGUAUAGAUAAUGUGUUCCGAAUCUUAUAGUUUAAAUUGUAGCUUAUAUCCCUUUUUGCUUAACUAACGCAUAAGUCCGAUUUUGGCCAUCAAGAAAACCAACCUUCUCAUAAUAUCAAGGUUUAAGUAAGAGGUAAGUCCGCACAGACGGAUGUUGAGCUGUGACAACGUCCACUUACCUAAAAAUGUGUAAAUCCUAAUGUCCUAAACAAUAACUUGAAUAAGACAGCUAUAUUAUUUGAAUACACUAUAUACAUAUGUAUGUACAUAUAGUUAUAUUUGAAUAUGAAUUCUCAAGACACUCCUGAUAAAACCACUGAAACCACGUUGCUUUAUUUAUUCUGUCGGUCCAUUCGAGUAAGUAAUUUAUAAAUUCUGCAAACAAGGGUUAUGGGCCCUUAUCGCGUGUGAAAGUGAUAAAGAAAAAAUAGUUCGUCGUUCGCUAAAUAAAAAUUAAAAAAAAUGAAUUGAAAUUUCCAGUAUUUCCAUAUGCCUUGUCGGCCAUUACAAUAAGAAGUUGCUUGGAUGCAGUAUGUCUGCAAAUAAAAGCAUCUAGUGUUAUCUAAAUUCGUUUGUCGAAUUGGAAGAUAAAUUAGCAGAUGAUAGCUAUCGAGACUCGUGACAAAUUGCCGACGUUUAUGCCGGUAUUCUGCGCGUAGUUUCUAAUACCUGAGACAGACAUGUAGUAUACAUCGUAGUAUGCUUCAGAAACCAUAUGUGUAUCACCGGUUUUCUGAAUUCUGUUUGAAAGCAAAUGGUGUUCCGUACUACAAUAGAGUUCUAGAAACUAUUGAAAUUUUGUGGUGUUGUGAAAUGUACUACAAUGGAUUGCAUUGAACACACCGAAAGCUUUAAGCUCUUCUGCCACUAUCAUAUGUUUUCUGACAUUUUGACAUACAGAAAUUAAAUUAAAUUCAAAAUUAGUUGAAAUCAAAAAACAAAAUUUGAAAAAAUGAUGUGAAAAAUAUGUAAUAUGUACGUAAUAAUAUGUAAUAUGUAAUAAUUAUAUUGGCCAAUAAUAUUUUAAGACUGCUUGAAGUUAUAACUAAGUCAGGAUCAAUUUUCCUGCCUGUAAUUCAUAAUUACAUUUUGCUUGAAUUUAUUUGUAUCAGCUGAUGAAUGUAAACAUAGUAUUGUACUAGUAUUCGUACUUAUACGAAUCUAUUAAAAAAAUAUGACGGAAGCUACAUCAUGCCCAGCAAGUCAUGGGUACUGAAACUCCAACACAUUCAAAGAAAUUUUAAUAACACCACUACAACCACACAUUUUUAAAGAAGUAAAACGUAAAAUAAAAGUUUUCUAAAGCCAAAAUAUGUCAAUUCGAAGCACGCAAUAGAAACCUAGGCCAACAAUGGUCACCAACAAGGGCGAAACCAUGGAAUAUAUAUUUCAAACGUCGUACGGCGCGUUAAAGGUACGCAACCUAAUUGGUGUCACUUAUGGUAGGAGCGUAGAACUUUCGAAGCGAUGGAAUAUGUGCUGCAAGCAAAUCCAGAACUAUGGAUGCAAACGCUGCUACAUCAAACACAAAUCAUUUACACACCAGAUAUUAGGUUUACAGCCACUUUUUUUUGACGUGCAAUUAAACCUUUUGGUCAACACAAGCUAAAACACAGGAAUUAAAGGGUAAAUUUAAGUGAAUGUUUGUGAUCAAUGAUCAUAGACAUUUAAAUAUUCUUGUAUGUUCAAUUAGAAGGACUUUUUUGAUUCAUUUUCACCUUAUAUUGAGGAAUCAUAACGUUGUUGUAUCGCUUUACAAUGACAUGGUUUCACCGAAAUUAGUUCAAUGGAAAUACUACAACAAGAGCAUAGAUGUUAAGAUUAGAACGUUGCCCGUGCUAGAUUUAGAAUUCUUGAAACAUAAGAAACCCUCCUCCCAGAAAUUGGAUGAAUCUAGUACUAGUAAAAUUAAUGAAAGAACAGAUUUUACAAAAACUCCUAAAGAAACCAAAAGGACCUCACAUAAUGUGCGCAGCUUACACUUCCAGGCCGCACGGGCUAUUUGACAUUUGCCACUCUUCCUCCGGCCUUUGUCCGAUAGCAAAAAUUGUUCAAUACGUUAUACAUAUGUAUAUGGUGUAGUACGAUAAUACAUGUAUGAAGUAAAUAUAAUAAUAAACACCUAAACGGCAUUACAUUUUCAAUAAAUAUGUAAUAUAAUUAAUAAUUUUGUUAUUGAAUUCUCAUUUCGGGUUUUGGUACAACUAACUGAAAAUAGCAGGUAUAGUUUCAGGUCU